rnacentral:tRNA from 1 species
UGUUCUGUGGCUUAGUUGAUUAAAGUGCCGGUCUAGCAAAUACGGAGUAUGGGUUCAGAUCCCACCAGAACUC